rnacentral:lncRNA from 1 species
AUGGCGAACAUUGUCCUCAACCCAGGACGUUUCCUUGAAGCUGGACAGCAUGUCCAAGAUGGGAGCCCUAAUCGUCUGCCUAGGGCAGACAUCACAGUGCCUGCUCCACAAAAACAACAUGAAGCCUACAUGCUAGCGGAGAUUGAGCCCCAAAUUCGAAAUCAUCUACAUAAUGAACUAGGUAUAAUGGUCACUCAUUGUUCUCCGCAUCCUCUUGGUGUUGGCCUCUUUGCUGGUGAAUCUUGGACCUUUGGUGUCUUUGUUCUUAACAAUGAGUUUGCUGACCUGCAACCUCAAGAUGAAGAUUUGCCACAUGUUGGUGCUCCACCUCCCCCACCUGACCCACCUCACCAUCAUGGCCCUGCCUGGGAUGAGAUUAAUCAUCAUCAUGGAGAUGAAGGUGCUUGGGGAAAUUGGGAGCAGCAGGCUAAGAAUCAACCUGGUUCCGAUCAUUCAGGGCUAAGUUCACAGGGUGCUAGUGCAAACUUACAGAUUGUUAUUGCUGCUAGCACUGAUAGUUCUCCUCUAUUUACUAUUUCUCCUGAGAUGCAAGGAAAGAUUGAUGAAUUUGUUCUUAGGAUGAAGCUGUUGAAAUCUCUUCGGAACAAGACACACAUACCUUUGCCUAUUCAAAAUACGGCCCCUUUCACUCAACUUCUAUACCCCAAGAGGAAAGCUUUGUCUGUUUACUCUCAGUCAGUGGAGCCAGUGGUCAAAAGGGCCAACUUGAAUGAAUCCUCUUCCUGGGCCAUGGAGAAAAGCCUAUCUAUAGAUGUAAUACCAAGCACAGAAGGCCCUAUCUUGUCCCCAAUUCCUCUGGCUAUUUUGCCUCCUUCAGGAGUUCACUUGGAUUCAGAUAAGUUUCUCUUGGCAGGCCCUGAGGUUUCUGUUGGCAGGAAUGAGCCAGUUUCUCCGGUUGCUUCAAGCUCUGAUGCUCUGAUUCUUCCUAAGGCCCCUGUUAAGAAAAGAGAU